GACGAACGCUGGCGGCGUGCUUAACACAUGCAAGUCGAACGGAAAGGCCCUGCUUUUGUGGGGUGCUCGAGUGGCGAACGGGUGAGUAACACGUGAGUAACCUGCCCUUGACUUUGGGAUAACUUCAGGAAACUGGGGCUAAUACCGGAUAGGAGCUCCUGCUGCAUGGUGGGGGUUGGAAAGUUUCGGCGGUUGGGGAUGGACUCGCGGCUUAUCAGCUUGUUGGUGGGGUAGUGGCUUACCAAGGCUUUGACGGGUAGCCGGCCUGAGAGGGUGACCGGCCACAUUGGGACUGAGAUACGGCCCAGACUCCUACGGUAGGCAGCAGUGGGGAAUAUUACACAGUGGGCGGAAGCCUGAUGCAGCAACGCCGCGUGCGGGAUGACGGCCUUCGGGUUGUAAACCGCUUUCGCCUGUGACGAAGCGUGAGUGACGGUAAUGGAUAAAGAAGCACCGGCUAACUACGUG
rnacentral:rRNA from 1 species